GAUGAACGCUGGCGGCGUGCCUAAUACAUGCAAGUCGAGCGAACAGACGAGGAGCUUACUCCUCUGACGUUAGCGGCGGACGGGUGAGUAACACGUGGAUAACCUACCUAUAAGACUGGGAUAACUUCGGGAAACCGGAGCUAAUACCGGAUAACAUGUUGAACCGCAUGGUUCAACAGUGAAAGACGGUCUUGCUGUCACUUAUAGAUGGAUCCGCGUCGCAUUAGCUAGUUGGUAAGGUAACGGCUUACCAAGGCAACGAUGCGUAGCCGACCUGAGAGGGUGAUCGGCCACACUGGAACUGAGACACGGUCCAGACUCCUACGGGAGGCAGCAGUAGGGAAUCUUCCGCAAAGGGCGAAAGCCUGACGGAGCAACGCCGCGUGAGUGAAGAAGGUCUUCGGAUCGUAAAACUCUGUUAUUAGGGAAGAACAAAUGUGUAAGUAACUAUGCACGUCUUGACGGUACCUAAUCAGAAAGCCACGGCUAACUACAUG
rnacentral:rRNA from 1 species